CUACUUUCUAAAUCCGGUUUAAUUUCCCGGUUGGUUCUAUUUGGUCUUCCAGGAGUUGACCCUUAGUGAGCCGAGGCGAUUACCUUAUAGAACAUGAUGGCAAGGGUGACUCUGAACUCAGGUUGGCCAAAUAAGUUGGAGUCAGUGCCUAAUGAAGUUCGCGUACCCAAGCUAAGCACUUGUACAUAUCACGAGGCCAUGUACGCAUAAUAAGGUUAUCCGGCUGUGGAGCUAGAGCCGGGACCCACUGUGAAGUUUCCAGUCGAGGACUAGUGGGUCCCUAAAGAUCCUGGGCACGGGGCCGAGUGCUCGUGCGAUAGCUGUGUUGUGGGUCAACAGCAUUGAUACCAUACUGGGAUUCUUUUUUAUUAGUUUGAAAUGUUGCCCCUUUUGUGCUCUAAAUAUUUAAAUUGUAUUUCUUGUGUAUAUAUCAUGCCUACGGGCCCAAAUGUAAAUGUAUUAUAUAAUAUAAUUUGAGUAUCAAGAGUAUUGGGGUAUCUAUAAGUAAAUACAUGUAAGACUUCCGCUGAAAUAUAGAAUCUUCUUGGUUUA